UCUAGCUUGUUAUAUCUGUAAUUUAUACAAACAAAUUGUCGUACCUCUCUCAGCCUUAUUGAGUUUACUUUUCGUUACCAAAUUUGAAUACCCUCAAGAACAUCCAGAAGCAGCAAGAUGCCCCUUUCUGAGCAACAACUGAAAAUUAUACGGAUGCGGCGUUCAUUUGCAUCUGGAAAAAUGACAACGGAGGAUCUUAAAAAUCGAGUUUUAGCUCUUCACCAAAGAGUACGUGAUUGGAAGGCCAUUCAGAAGAAGGAAGUGGAUCAGAAUUUAAGUUUAUGGAAAUCUCACAUGACAGAUUUUUAGUUUAAUAAAGGUCGAGAAGUGCAAAGUGCAAAGUGCACUGAGAAGAAGUAAACCUUUUCUUUUUAAUGUUUUUUAUUUAAUUUAUAUUCGAGAGAUUCAGAAUGGAAGACUUUUUGCAAAGAGUUGCUUGUAUUUUCCCCAACGAGUACUUUUCUUUUUUAAGCAUUCUGUCGCCUGCGAAAUUGAGCAAUUUAAUUAUACUCGUAUGGAAAAAUAAUGAUGCUGCCUCCGCACAUUCUCUGGAAAGGUAAACAUUGACAUCCAAUGAAGGCUUCAAAAUGCCGGGGCGACAAUUGCAAUUAAUUGCAUAUUUUAAGCCAUUCCAGAUUGGAACCGCAGACACCGUGAAUAACAAUAACAACAACAAUUGCUGUACAAAAAAAAAAAUAUAUAUAUAUAUAUGUUUAAUGUCCAUAAUAAAAAAAUGUUCAUAGUAAAAAACAAAAGGAUCGGCUUGACCGUUAUCAAAGGAAAGAAAUUAAUUGGUCUUUAUGCCAAAAAUUAACAAUUAUGACAAUAAAAAUGCAUUCUGUUUAUUAUGGGAA